GAGUAAAUGUGGCGUUUCAUACGCCGUAGUCUCCAUCCUCGGUCCUCAGAGUAGUGGUGCGCAUUUGCAUUUCAUCUUCAUGUUUUUUUUUCUUUUGCAGUUUCAAUCUUAUUUAUUCUUUUGUAUGAGUAUGACAUGGCAGGGAAGAGCACGUUGCUUAAUCAUCUCUUCGGCACCAAGUUUAAGAUGAUGGAUUAUUCAGUAGGGAGGCAUGUCUACAACCUCACUCUAAUGGAAUUUGAGAUUUGGAUUCGGAAAGUCUAAAAACGGUUUCAUAUUUUUCCAGGUCUCAAACCACCAUGGGGAUGUGGAUGGCUAAAGCUGCUGGACGAUGCUGCUUUUGAAAAGCAGAUUGCUCUUUUCGCUUUGGCCAUCUCCGAUGUAGUCAUCAUAAACAUGUGGUGUCAUGAUAUUGGCCGUGAUCAAGCUGCCAGCUCGCCUCUUCUGAAAAUUGUAUUCCAGGUCAUGAUGCGAUUGUUUAGCCCUCGGAGAACAACUCUGUUGUUCAUCAUACGGGAUAAAACAAGGGUUGGUACCUAUACUUAAUCAUGUUUCCAUUUUGGAUUGUGAUGGUUUUUAUCUGCUCUUUGAUUUUUCUUUUUAUCCAGACUCCUCCGAGAUAUAUUGAAAAUCGCUUGAGAGAAGAUGUGCAGAAGGUGAGGGUUGUUGCAUUUCCUUUGGAAAAUCGACUUUGUAAAGUUGUUCCUGGUUUCAUUUAGUAUUUUCCUGCAG